AUACGUAGGUGGCGAGCGUUGUCCGGAAUUACUGGGUGUAAAGGGUGCGUAGGCGGAUUUACAAGUCAGGUGUGAAAACUAUCGGCUCAACCGGUAGCCUGCACUUGAAACUGUAAGUCUUGAGUGGUGAAGAGGUAAGCGGAAUUCCUAGUGUAGCGGUGAAAUGCGUAGAUAUUAGGAGGAACACCAGUGGCGAAGGCGGCUUACUGGGCACUAACUGACGCUGAGGCACGAAAGCAUGGGGAGCAAACAGGAUUAGAUACCCUGGUAGUCCAUGCCGUAAACGACGAUUACUAGGUGUAGGGGGUAUCGACCCCCCCUGUGCCGCAGUUAACACAAUAAGUAAUCCACCUGGGGAGUACGGCCGCAAGGUUGAA
rnacentral:rRNA from 1 species